rnacentral:misc_RNA from 1 species
UUCCGCAAUCAACAGUCCUUCAAUUUUCCCGCCCCAAUUCUUUAUCAGAAGCUCACCAUCUUCCACACCAAAAACCAAUAAAACCCUCAAUAAAGUGAGAGUAAGAGAAUCCCCAAAUAAUCGAAGCUAGAAACCCUAUAAUAAAGAUUUCUUCUUUUUGGUAUUUAAUCUGAAACAGAGGUCUCAGAUCGGUGAGCAAAGAGGGAAUUGAAGCACUUUUUGCUGUGAUGUGAGAAAGG